rnacentral:lncRNA from 1 species
CCAUGGAUGUCUUGAUUACCCCACUCCCAUCAGAAGAGCCUAAUAAGCCUGAUACACAUCAAGGAAAUCCCAUUUAUGACACUGCCAACAAAGAUUCCCUUGGUUUGAAUACCCCUUCUGCUCUCGAGGGUAACGAAUACAAUCCAUCUUGCUCCAAGGUAUAAUUGCACACAUAUACAUGUGUGGCUAGUCUUAAACGCGACCAUUCCAGUUUUGUUUCUCUCUUGUUUAACAGUUCAACCUAACUAUUCUUACAGGUUAAGGACAUUGAUUAUGAUCCCAGUUUCGAUAAAAGUGACAACCUAACUGCCAUCAAAUCUCCAAUGGCUGCUGAC